rnacentral:sRNA from 1 species
GUGCCGGGAUUGGCGUCCUGGUAAAUCGAAUGGCGACAUAUGACGCGCCGAGCGUCUUUUUU